rnacentral:tRNA from 1 species
AUUACUUUGGCAGAUUAGUGCAAUGAAUUUAGAAUUCAUGAAUGUAAUUUUAUUUUACAAGUAAUA